UACGUAGGAUCCGAGCGUUGUCCGGAUUUACUGGGUGUAAAGGGUGCGCAGGCGGACUUAUAAGUCAGGGGUGAAAUCUCACAGCUUAACUGUGAAACUGCCUUUGAUACUGUAAGUCUUGGAUCCGGGAGAGAAUUGUGGAAUUCCGAGUGUAGCAGUGAAAUGUGUAGAUAUUCGGAAGAACACCAGUGGCGAAGGCAGCAAUUUGGCCCGGUAUCGACGCUCAGGCACGAAAGCAUGGGGA
rnacentral:rRNA from 1 species